GCGUGAGUGAAGAAGGCCCUAGGGUUGUAAAGCUCUUUCGCACGCGAAGAUAAUGACGGUAGCGUGUAAAGAAGCCCCGGCUAACUCCGUGCCAGCAGCCGCGGUAAUACGGAGGGGGCUAGCGUUGUUCGGAAUCACUGGGCGUAAAGCGCACGUAGGUGGAUUGUUAAGUCAGGGGUGAAAGCCCGAGGCUCAACCUCGGAACUGCCUUUGAUACUGGCUGUCUUGAGUCCGGGAGAGGUGAGUGGAAUUCCUAGUGUAGAGGUGAAAUUCGU
rnacentral:rRNA from 1 species